GGGAGCAUGGCUCAAGUGGUACAGCACCCACAUACUAAGUAUGAGGCCCUGAGUUCAAACCUCAGUACUGCCA
rnacentral:tRNA from 1 species